AAAGCUUUGUUACUACUGUAACUUUCGCGACAUGACUGAUACUCGCAAGUGCUUCUCCACGAAAUCCAAAUGUUUGUAAAUGUUGUAAAUCAUUAAAAUUAUCAAUUUUAGACGUACUAAACCUCUGGCAUAAAUAAGGAAGAUCAUCAUACUGUUAAAAAUAGCUAGUAAACCAGAGACUAAGUAGAAACUUUAUGAAAGCAACAUUUCACUUACCUGUAUACCAGAUCCAU